CAAGUCGGGGCAUGUUCCAAUGGCGGAGACAAGCUCACACGUUUGGUUACCAAUUUCUCUAUUCAAUUAUUGCUGGUCAGUCCCUACUAGCAAGGCAAUAUGUGGAAGGGAACCACGAGCAAGCCUACAUGCUUUUAUAUAGAGUUCUGCAGAUUGGAGGUGUGAUUCGUCCAGCAGUUUCGUGUGAGAGCAAGUCAUGUGCAGAGGGGAUAAAUAGAACAAUAAGUGUUCCUACUGGAUCAGGGAUAAAUAGACAUGUGAUAGGUCUGGUGUGGUUGCUAGGGUGAUAAUAAUGCCACGGAUGUGUGAACUUAUAUAUGGUUUCAAAAUCUUCUUCACCAUUGUCUUUAUGUUACAUCUCAUGUCUUCACGUUUAGGAUUUCUUGAGGUUUAGGUUUUUCAUUAAUUAUUUGCCGAUUCAUAACAGUGGCGUCCUCAUUCUCUUGUCUCGGCAAGACAUUUUUCCUUUCAUGCAUGUACCUUUUUAAGUACAUUGUCUACCCGGUCUUGAUGUUUCUUUCCUUUUGUAGAGAUAUAAGGAUUUUGUGUGUUGCAAAUAAAUACAGUCUCAUGCUUAGCUUAACCUUCAUUUUAUUUUAUUUUUAUAUAAGUUUGCUAGCAUUAUUACUGAGUAUUUAGGCCCAUGAUGCCUUUUGGGCAUGUUCAAUUGUUUGGGCUAUGUAGCAUUAGAUUAAUAUAUUUCAUAUUAUGGAACCAAACAUAUUGGAUUUGAUACUGCAUUAAUAUUUGGAAUUAUUAGUUGAGAAACACUAGAUUACCUGAGCUGCUGCAUAUUUUUGUUAAUUUGCCGAUGUAAGUAUUGUGGGGCUGUAAUUGUUGAUUAGUUUUAG